GACGAACGCUGGCGGCGUGCUUAACACAUGCAAGUCGAGGGGUAAGGCCCUUUCGGGGGUACACGAGCGGCGAACGGGUGAGUAACACGUGGGUGACCUGCCCUUAGCUCUGGGAUAAGCCUGGGAAACUGGGUCUAAUACCGGAUAUGACUCCAUGACGCAUGUUGUGGGGUGGAAAGCCUUGUGCGGCUAGGGAUGGGCCUGCGGCCUAUCAGCUUGUUGGUGGGGUGAUGGCCACCAAGGCGACGACGGGUAGCCGGCCUGAGAGGGCGACCGGCCACACUGGGACUGAGACACGGCCCAGACUCCUACGGGAGGCAGCAGUGGGGAAUCUUGCGCAAUGGGCGAAAGCCUGACGCAGCGACGCCGCGUGGGGAUGACGGCCUCGGUGUAA
rnacentral:rRNA from 1 species